UACAGAGGGCCUGGCUGAACUUCAGCUGACUCAUCUAAAAUCCAGUCAUGCUGGAGAGUACCCCGUGAAUGCUACAGAAAAGGCCACCCCCCACAUAGGUUCAUAGCUCAGUGAUGUCCUGCUUCUACUGGUGACAGGGCUUGUAGGAGGCAAAAUCUCCUUCCUGGAAUCAGAGAAGAAAGCGGGUGAGAUCAGGAGAUUUACCUAAACAGGAGCCAUGAAGUCCGGAAACACACAACGAAUGCAGGACGCACGAUCUACCGCGGUCUAGGAGAGUUCACCAACCCACCCUCACCGCUCCCUACGCGCCCACCCAACACCCGCAGCCUCACGCCCUUAGCUUCGCGCUUGCUCUCCAGGGCGCGCCAGGCAAGACGGCCUUGGAGUAUGCGCUGUGCGCCCCUCCGCCGCCUGGUCAGAGCGCGCGCAACGCGUGCGCCUUCGGUAACCUGUGAGCACCGUCUGCUCACCAGCCUCCCGCGUGUGCACGCCCGCGGCCGCAGCUGAUCCGCUGUAUGUUCUAGAAGAAGCCUAAGAGUGGGAUUCCUGGGGAGUAGGAGCCUCACGCCUCUCGUAUCAUGGUGAGGAAGAACAGUAUCCCCAACGGGUGAGUAUCCGCCGCGAGCUCCCUGGUGACAACCGGAGUCGCUAGAUGAGCGGCCGUUCCCAGGGAGGCGGGGAGAUGCUCUCGAGCCCCGCCGUCGGAAGCGGCCGCGCGCGCCCUCGAGGUGCACCCCGUCGCCUCUGUCGGGCCUGUGCGCGGAGG